rnacentral:rRNA from 1 species
AUGGCUCACCAGGCCGUGGACAGCUGGGCCCAGCAUUUGCGGAGGACCGCAGAGGCCUUGCUCGGGCUCCACCAGCAGGGAGAGGAGCAGAGCUGGCUUCUCUCUCGGCAAGUGGAGGAACUGGUGGAGAAGCGCGAACUCUUGGCGAAAGAGUCUGCCCUUCUGGAGGCAAUCAAGGCGGACCUCAACGCCCGCGAGGAGCGUCUAAAGAUCGCCCAAGGUUCUUCUGCAGAUGAAGCAGCCGAGUGCUCUUCUGCUGCGGCCACAAGGGCCAGCCUCCAACAAGUGCUAGUGGCCGCCCUGGUUGCGCAGAAGAAGAGCGAGGCCCCACUGGCCCGGGUGGAAGAGCUUCAGCACCGAGCAGGAAGAGGCUCUGAGGGAGAAAGAGCGUUUCUUGGCGGAGUCAAACGAGCGGACGCUUGCCGACCAACAGGCCCUGGGCCAGGCUGGAGAGAGGAUUCGCGAGCUCGAGGACACCGUGACCGCCUUGCGGCAACGGUCUUCCGAGCUCGAGAAAGCUGUGAACACCGGCGCAGCCUGCCGCGUAGCCGCGACCCAAGUGGCCAAAGAGUGCGAAGAUGCCCUGUCGGCCCUGCUGGCCUACGCGCAGGGCCAACUUCAGACUGUUUUCGGAGAGCUGACGACUGUCGGGGCGUCUGUCAGUGA